rnacentral:rRNA from 1 species
AGUGAACGCUGGCGGUAUGCCUAACACAUGCAAGUCGAACGGCAGCACAGUAAGAUCUUGCUCUUACGGGUAGCGAGUGGCGGACGGGUGAGGAAUACAUCGGAAUCUACUUUUUCGUGGGGGAUAACGUAGGGAAACUUACGCUAAUACCGCAUACGACCUACGGGUGAAAGCAGGGGAUCUUCGGACCUUUCGCGAUUGAAUGAGCCGAUGCCGGAUUAGCUAGUUGGCGUGGUAAAGGCCCACCAAGGCGACGAUCCGUAGCUGGUCUGAGAGGAUGAUCAGCCACACUGGAACUGAGACACGGUCCAGACUCCUACGGGAGGCAGCAGUGGGGAAUAUUGGACAAUGGGCGCAAGCCUGAUCCAGCCAUACCGCGUGGGUGAAGAAGGCCUUCGGGUUGUAAAGCCCUUUUGUUGGGAAAGAAAAGAAGCAGGUUAAUACCCCGCUGUUCUGACGGUACCCAAAGAAUAAGCACCGGCUAACUUCGUG